rnacentral:sRNA from 1 species
GGACCGCCCAACAGGGGCGGGGCGAACGAUUGCAAAAGCUUCGUUGUGCCCCAUGGCCAUACGGACAGCCGGGUCCACUGCCGA